UGGACUGUGGCAUUUGCACUUGUUCUGAGG
rnacentral:piRNA from 1 species